GUGAAUCAUCGAAUCUUUGAACGCAAAUUGCACUCUCUUCUGAUAGUAUGCCUGUUUGAGGGUCAGCCUAAAAAAAAUCAACGUAGUCGCUGUUUCGCGGUGACAUUCGUCGGAAAUUGGGUCAUCUUAAACCUUUGGGUUUUUAAGCGGCUUAAAAUUUUCUUUAUGAUUCUACUAACGCUUCUAAGUUUUUACUUCUAACACACGU
rnacentral:misc_RNA from 1 species